rnacentral:rRNA from 5 species
GGGUUGUGAGGUUAAGCGACUAAGCGUACACGGUGGAUGCCCUGGCAGUCAGAGGCGAUGAAGGACGUGCUAAUCUGCGAUAAGCGUCGGUGAGGUGAUAUGAACCGUUAUAACCGGCGAUUUCCGAAUGGGGAAACCCAGUGUGUUUCGACACACUAUCAUUAACUGAAUCCAUAGGUUAAUGAGGCGAACCGGGGGAACUGAAACAUCUAAGUACCCCGAGGAAAAGAAAUCAACCGAGAUUCCCCCAGUAGCGGCGAGCGAACGGGGAGGAGCCCAGAGCCUGAAUCAGUGUGUGUGUUAGUGGAAGCGUCUGGAAAGGCGCGCGAUACAGGGUGACAGCCCCGUACACAAAAAUGCACAUAUUGUGAGCUCGAUGAGUAGGGCGGGACACGUGGUAUCCUGUCUGAAUAUGGGGGGACCAUCCUCCAAGGCUAAAUACUCCUGACUGACCGAUAGUGAACCAGUACCGUGAGGGAAAGGCGAAAAGAACCCCGGCGAGGGGAGUGAAAAAGAACCUGAAACCGUGUACGUACAAGCAGUGGGAGCCUCUUAAUGGGGUGACUGCGUACCUUUUGUAUAAUGGGUCAGCGACUUAUAUUCUGUAGCAAGGUUAACCGAAUAGGGGAGCCGAAGGGAAACCGAGUCUUAACUGGGCGUUAAGUUGCAGGGUAUAGACCCGAAACCCGGUGAUCUAGCCAUGGGCAGGUUGAAGGUUGGGUAACACUAACUGGAGGACCGAACCGACUAAUGUUGAAAAAUUAGCGGAUGACUUGUGGCUGGGGGUGAAAGGCCAAUCAAACCGGGAGAUAGCUGGUUCUCCCCGAAAGCUAUUUAGGUAGCGCCUCGUGAAUUCAUCUCCGGGGGUAGAGCACUGUUUCGGCAAGGGGGUCAUCCCGACUUACCAACCCGAUGCAAACUGCGAAUACCGGAGAAUGUUAUCACGGGAGACACACGGCGGGUGCUAACGUCCGUCGUGAAGAGGGAAACAACCCAGACCGCCAGCUAAGGUCCCAAAGUCAUGGUUAAGUGGGAAACGAUGUGGGAAGGCCCAGACAGCCAGGAUGUUGGCUUAGAAGCAGCCAUCAUUUAAAGAAAGCGUAAUAGCUCACUGGUCGAGUCGGCCUGCGCGGAAGAUGUAACGGGGCUAAACCAUGCACCGAAGCUGCGGCAGCGACACUAUGUGUUGUUGGGUAGGGGAGCGUUCUGUAAGCCUGUGAAGGUGUACUGUGAGGUAUGCUGGAGGUAUCAGAAGUGCGAAUGCUGACAUAAGUAACGAUAAAGCGGGUGAAAAGCCCGCUCGCCGGAAGACCAAGGGUUCCUGUCCAACGUUAAUCGGGGCAGGGUGAGUCGACCCCUAAGGCGAGGCCGAAAGGCGUAGUCGAUGGGAAACAGGUUAAUAUUCCUGUACUUGGUGUUACUGCGAAGGGGGGACGGAGAAGGCUAUGUUGGCCGGGCGACGGUUGUCCCGGUUUAAGCGUGUAGGCUGGUUUUCCAGGCAAAUCCGGAAAAUCAAGGCUGAGGCGUGAUGACGAGGCACUACGGUGCUGAAGCGACAAAUGCCCUGCUUCCAGGAAAAGCCUCUAAGCAUCAGGUAACAUCAAAUCGUACCCCAAACCGACACAGGUGGUCAGGUAGAGAAUACCAAGGCGCUUGAGAGAACUCGGGUGAAGGAACUAGGCAAAAUGGUGCCGUAACUUCGGGAGAAGGCACGCUGAUAUGUAGGUGAAGCGACUUGCUCGUGGAGCUGAAAUCAGUCGAAGAUACCAGCUGGCUGCAACUGUUUAUUAAAAACACAGCACUGUGCAAACACGAAAGUGGACGUAUACGGUGUGACGCCUGCCCGGUGCCGGAAGGUUAAUUGAUGGGGUUAGCGGUAACGCGAAGCUCUUGAUCGAAGCCCCGGUAAACGGCGGCCGUAACUAUAACGGUCCUAAGGUAGCGAAAUUCCUUGUCGGGUAAGUUCCGACCUGCACGAAUGGCGUAAUGAUGGCCAGGCUGUCUCCACCCGAGACUCAGUGAAAUUGAACUCGCUGUGAAGAUGCAGUGUACCCGCGGCAAGACGGAAAGACCCCGUGAACCUUUACUAUAGCUUGACACUGAACAUUGAGCCUUGAUGUGUAGGAUAGGUGGGAGGCUUUGAAGUGUGGACGCCAGUCUGCAUGGAGCCGACCUUGAAAUACCACCCUUUAAUGUUUGAUGUUCUAACGUGGGCCCCUUACCGGGGUUGCGGACAGUGUCUGGUGGGUAGUUUGACUGGGGCGGUCUCCUCCUAAAGAGUAACGGAGGAGCACGAAGGUUGGCUAAUCCUGGUCGGACAUCAGGAGGUUAGUGCAAUGGCAUAAGCCAGCUUGACUGCGAGCGUGACGGCGCGAGCAGGUGCGAAAGCAGGUCAUAGUGAUCCGGUGGUUCUGAAUGGAAGGGCCAUCGCUCAACGGAUAAAAGGUACUCCGGGGAUAACAGGCUGAUACCGCCCAAGAGUUCAUAUCGACGGCGGUGUUUGGCACCUCGAUGUCGGCUCAUCACAUCCUGGGGCUGAAGUAGGUCCCAAGGGUAUGGCUGUUCGCCAUUUAAAGUGGUACGCGAGCUGGGUUUAGAACGUCGUGAGACAGUUCGGUCCCUAUCUGCCGUGGGCGCUGGAGAACUGAGGGGGGCUGCUCCUAGUACGAGAGGACCGGAGUGGACGCAUCACUGGUGUUCGGGUUGUCAUGCCAAUGGCACUGCCCGGUAGCUAAAUGCGGAAGAGAUAAGUGCUGAAAGCAUCUAAGCACGAAACUUGCCCCGAGAUGAGUUCUCCCUGACUCCUUGAGAGUCCUGAAGGAACGUUGAAGACGACGACGUUGAUAGGCCGGGUGUGUAAGCGCAGCGAUGCGUUGAGCUAACCGGUACUAAUGAACCGUGAGGCUUAACCUUACAACGCCGAAG